rnacentral:miRNA from 1 species
AGUGGAAUUGCUGGGGCAUAUGGAAACAAUGUUUAAAUUUUUGAGGAAUUGUUAGUUUCCCAAAGUAACCAUUUUACAUUCCCACCAGCAAU